rnacentral:rRNA from 1 species
GACGAACGCUGGCGGCGUGCUUAACACAUGCAAGUCGAGCGAUGAAGCACCUUCGGGUGUGAAUUAGCGGCGAACGGGUGAGGAACACGUGAGAAAUCUGCCUUCAACACUGGGAUAACUCCGGGAAACCGGGGCUAAUACCGGAUAUGCAACCUUCGGGCAUCCGCGGGUGUGGAAAGUUUUUCGGUUGAAGAUGAUCUCGCGGCCUAUCAGCUUGUUGGUGAGGUGAUGGCUCACCAAGGCGACGACGGGUAGCCGGCCUGAGAGGGAGCCCGGCCACACUGGGACUGAGACACGGCCCAGACUCCUACGGGAGGCAGCAGUGGGGAAUAUUGGGCAAUGGAGGAAACUCUGACCCAGCGACGCCGCGUGCGGGAUGAAGGCCUUCGGGUUGUAAACCGCUUUCAGCAGGGAAGAAGCGAAAGUGACGGUACCUGCAGAAGAAGCACCGGCUAACUAUGUGCCAGCAGCCGCCGUAA